GACGAAGGGGGCUAGCGUUGUUCGGAAUUACUGGGCGUAAAGCGCACGUAGGCGGCUUUGUAAGUUAGAGGUGAAAGCCCGGGGCUCAACCCCGGAAUUGCCUUUAAGACUGCAUCGCUAGAAUUGUGGAGAGGUGAGUGGAAUUCCGAGUGUAGAGGUGAAAUUCGUAGAUAUUCGGAAGAACACCAGUGGCGAAGGCGACUCACUGGACACAUAUUGACGCUGAGGUGCGAAAGCGUGGGGAGCAAACAGG
rnacentral:rRNA from 1 species